UCCUAUACCCCCGCCCCCCUACCCUUGCUUCUAUGAGGAUGCUCCCACCCCACACAUCGAUUCCAAACUUAACGCCCUGGCAAUACACUUUCCAGAUUCUUCAUUGCCUGGUCUGUGGACCAGAGUAAUGGUCUGUCAGGGUGAUUAUCGACCUAGGGAAAUGGAUGACAUCACUACUCAUUGCUAAUGUCAAGUACUGCCAAUACAGGAAAACUUUCACCUUCAGAGCCAAGCCUAGAAGAGAUGCAGGACUGUCCUCCCAUCAUGUGGCCUUAGAGACAGGACUAAAGGUUCAAAGCAAUUCUCUAUUACGUAGCAUGACUCAGCCUGGGCUUCAGCAGACCUUGUCCUAAGCAGAACUUGUAAAAAAGGGAAAGAAAUUCUUGUGCCUGGGACACAUCACAGAAUGCAAACAAGUAAGAGUUCAGAGCAGUGCUGCAUUAAAGGGAACCAGUGGAGGACUUUUUACAAACAUAAAUAGAAUUGAAAAACACAUAGGCAUUCUGACUUAGAAAAAGAGCGGCCCUUUUCCUGGAAAAGCAUUUAUCAAAUACCGUUUGACCUUGUCUCUAUCUGGAGCGUUGGCUGCUGGGACCUGGAACUUGCCACAAACAACUACGGGCAAUGAAGGCCUGUGUUUCACAUUUCUGAGCUGACUUCUCUAUGUCAAUGCUGACUGCACAUAUCUCCCCAGGACAGUAACCUAAGUGCAAUUUGAAUACUCAUGGGCUUCACUGACAUCACAAAUCCUACACCCACGGAUCUAGUCUGUUUUCAUUCACCCAACAUGAAUUAAUACAUUCUGUAAAAUUACUAAAUCACCACCCUGCCAUGAUCAGGUCCUUUUUUAAAUGGCUACUCCAGUAGCUGAUUGUGCCCACCGCCCCAGUAGUGUACCCAAUAAACUUCCUCCUAUUCUGGUCUGAAUGCAGAGGCUAUGCCCCUCAUGCAAAUCCUUUCCCUCUGGAUGCAAUAAACAGUUGAUUAUAUGACUCAAAUGUGAACUU
rnacentral:sRNA from 1 species